rnacentral:rRNA from 1 species
GAUGAACGCUGGCGGCGUGCCUAAUACAUGCAAGUAGAACGCUGAAGGAGGAGCUUGCUCUUCUGGAUGAGUUGCGAACGGGUGAGUAACGCGUAGGUAACCUGCCUGGUAGCGGGGGAUAACUAUUGGAAACGAUAGCUAAUACCGCAUGACAACAGUUAUUGCAUGAUAACUGUUUAAAAGGGGCAACUGCUCCACUACCAGAUGGACCUGCGUUGUAUUAGCUAGUUGGUGAGGUAACGGCUAACCAAGGCGACGAUACAUAGCCGGCCUGAGAGGGGGAGCGGCCACGGUGGGACUGGGACACGGCCCAGGCCCCUACGGGAGGCAGCAGUAGGGGAGCUUCGGCAAUGGACGGAAGUCUGACCGAGCAACGCCGCGGGAGUGAAGAAGGUUUUCGGAUCGGGAAGCUCUGUUGUAAGAGAAGAACGAGUAUGAGAGUGGAAAGUUCACACUGUGACGGUAGCUUAACAGAAAGGGACGGCUAACUACGUG